rnacentral:rRNA from 1 species
AUACGUAGGGGGCGAGCGUUGUCCGGAAUGAUUGGGCGUAAAGGGCGCGUAGGCGGCCCGGUAAGUCUGGAGUGAAAGUCCUGUUUUUAAGAUGGGAAUUGCUUUGGAUACUGUCGGGCUUGAGUGCAGGAGAGGGAAGUGGAAUUCCCAGUGUAGCGGUGAAAUGCGUAGAGAUUGGGAGGAACACCAGUGGCGAAGGCGGCUUACUGGACUGUAACUGACGCUGAGGCGCGAAAGUGUGGGGAGCAAACAGGAUUAGAUACCCUGGUAGUCCACACUGUAAACGAUGAAUGCUAGGUGUAGGGGGUAUCGACCCCUUCUGUGCCGCAGUCAACACAAUAAGCAUUCCGCCUGGGGAGUACGGCCGCAAGGUUGAAACUCAAAUGAAUUGACGGGG